rnacentral:rRNA from 1 species
CUGUCUCUAUUUAAUUAAAUAUUUGAAUUUAAUUUUUAAGUUAAAAAGCUUAAAUUUAUUUAAAGGACGAGAAGACCCUAUAGAGUUUUAUUAUAAAAUUUAUAUUAAAUUUUAAUUAUAUUUUUGUAUAAAUUUUAUAAUUUUAUUGGGGCGAUUGAAAAAUUUAAUGAACUUUUUUAUUUGAUUUAUACAUUUAUAAAUGAAUUUUUGAUCCUAUUUUUUAGAUUAAUAGAUGAAAUUACCUUAGGGA